rnacentral:piRNA from 1 species
UACACAGAAGUUUUUGCCAGACAGGAUGACC